UCCUCCUCCUCGGGGAGCUGGGGUCCGGCAGGAGAAAGCUCUUCGAUAUUGGAGAGGCUUUGUCCUUCAUCGUGGUCAAUGGAGAGUCCUUGUCCGUCAUGGUCAAUGGAGAGCCCUUGUUCUUCAUCAUGGUCAAUGGAGAGCCUUCAUGUUUUAUCAUGGUCAAUGAAGAGUCCUCGUCCAUCAUCAUUGCCACUGGAGAGUCCUUGUCCUUCAUGCUGGUCACCAGAGAUACCCAACUCUUCCUCAUGGUCAAUGAAGAGCCCUUAGCCUUCAUCAUCAUCAAGGAAGAGCCGUCAUCCUUCAUGGUCAAUGAAGAGCCUUCCUCCUUCAUCACGGUCAAUGAAGAGCCCUUAGCCUUCAUCAUCAUCAAGGAAGAGCCCUUGUCCUUCAUCAUGGUCAAUG